rnacentral:tRNA from 1 species
GCGGGUGUAGUUCAAAGGUAGAACCUCAGCCUUCCAAGCUGAUGAUAUGGGUUCGAUUCCCAUCAUCCGCUCCA